CUUUGUUUGAAACACACAGUCAGUUGAAGCCGUUGAAGAACAGCGUGAAGAUGGAACCUGCUACUGAGCACAUCAACUCUUAAGUGUGUCCCUGGAAGAUCUACCAUCAACUUCCAGAACUGCAACUGCUAGUACUGUCAGAUGGUGAAUGCUACUCAGGCAAACACCAUUGUUACACCACUUUGAAGGAGAGCCUGGUCAUUUGGUCCCCUCAGCUUCUCCCUUUCUCAGUGAUAUGUUCAUUGUGGCUGGGAGAAUUGUGGGGCACUCUUUCCUUCAUGGAGGACCCUGCUUGUCUGGACUCUGUGAUGUGGUUGUCCAUACUGCUUCGUGGGAGCCCAGACACGGCUACAGUAAACCUGGAGGACUGUGCAGACCUGGACAUUAGAGAAACAAUCAGGCUUCUGGAGGUGGAAUCAAACCUAUCAGCUGAAGAAAUGGGAAGGGUACAGAACGUGGCCUCUUCCUGGGACCUCCCUCCGCUAACCACAACCAACAGGGCCCUUAAUGCUCUGCGGUGAAAAAUGGAGCAACAAGGCUGACCGUGACAUCGGGAGAGCUGAGGCAGAUCAUCUUAAACAUGAUGCACCUGGACGGUCCGGUGGCGGAGACUUCAAGAAUUAAAUAAAAUUACAAUGAAAUGGAUAA